GAGAUGGACUCGCGUCGCAUUAGCUAGUUGGUGAGGUAACGGCCCACCAAGGCGACGAUGCGUAGCCGACCUGAGAGGGUGAUCGGCCACAUUGGGACUGAGAUACGGCCCAGACUCCUACGGGAGGCAGCAGUGGGGAAUAUUGGGCAAUGGAGGAAACUCUGACCCAGCAAUGCCGCGUGAAUGAAGAAGGUCUUCGGAUUGUAAAGUUCUUUAGUCAGGGAAGAAGUCAAUGACGGUACCUGAAGAAUAAGCUCCGGCUAACUACGUGCCAGCAGCCGCGGUAAUACGUAGGGAGCAAGCGUUGUUCGGAAUGACUGGGCGUAAAGGGUGCGUAGGCGGUUGUACAAGUUAGAAGUGAAAUACCCAGGGCUUAACUCGGGUGCUGCUUCUAAAACUGUAUGACUUGAGUGCAGUAGAGGUUAGUGGAAUUCCUAGUGUAGCGGUGGAAUGCGUAGAUAUUAGGAGGAACACCAGUGGCGAAGGCGGUCUGCUGGACAGCAACUGACGCUGAGGCGCGAAAGCGUGGGGAGCAAACAGGAUUAGAUACCCUGGUAGUCCACGCUGUAAACGAUGGAUACUAGGUGUGGGGGGACUGACCCCCUCCGUGCCGCAGUUAACACAAUAAGUAUCCCACCUGGGGAGUACGAUCGCAAGGUUGAAACUCAAAGGAAUUGACGGGGGCC
rnacentral:rRNA from 1 species